GUAAAACUUUCAGCGACGGAUGUCUUGGCUCCCACAACGGAUGAAGAACGCAGCGAAAUGCGAUACGUCUUGCGACUUGCAGAAUCCAGUAAUCAUCAAAACUUUGAACGCAUCUUGCGCUUCCGGGAUAUGCCUGGGAGCAUGCUUGUCGGAGUGUCUGUUG
rnacentral:rRNA from 1 species